rnacentral:misc_RNA from 1 species
UUUCCGUAGGUGAACCUGCGGAAGGAUCAUUAUUGAGUGAGGGCCCCUCGGGGUCCAACCUCCCACCCGUGUUUAACGAACCUUGUUGCUUCGGCGGGCCCGCCUCACGGCCGCCGGGGGGCAUCUGCCCCCGGGCCCGCGCCCGCCGAAGCCACCUGUGAACGCUGUCUGAAGUAUGCAGUCUGAGACAAUUAUUAAAUUAAUUAAAACUUUCAACAACGGAUCUCUUGGUUCCG